CAUCCCAAAGCCUGUCAGAGCCAGAGGCACAAGGCCCCACUUAUACUUGGGCAAAGAGAGGCCAGGGGUCUUGCCCAAGUCACUGGCAAAGCCGCAGCUCAGACCCCGGCGUCGGUUUCCAGGCCCCUCCUCUCUGCUCCGCUCCUCUCCAGGCCCCUCCUCUCUGCUCCGCUCCUCUCCAGGCCCCUCCCAGUUUUUGGUUAAACUUCUCAUGUCACGUUUUCUGACAACACCUUCCAUUGUACCAUCUGUUUCUGAACAAUACCUGGGACAUUGCAAACUUGUUCUGCAAGAAUACCCUGGGUCUCAGUGUGUGUGACAAGGGAUGGAAGAAUUCACCAGUAAAACCACCUGGACCUGAAAUUUUUUCAUGGGAAAGUUUUUGAUGAUGUAUUCAAUCUCUACUCAAAUGUUCUAUUUCAUCUUGUGUCAAUUUUGAUACGUGGUCUUGCUAUGUUGCCCAGGCUGGUCUCAGACUCCUGGGCUCAAAGGAUCUGCCUGCCUCAGCCUCCGGAAGUGCUGGGAUUACAGGUGUGAGCCACUGUACUCCGCCACAGGAGCGUGUGGCCGGGGACUCGUGCAUGCCAGGGAAGAGCACUGGCUUCCGGAUCCUCUGACUUCACCAUGUGACUUGGCCAGCAAUGACCCUGGGUUAGAGAUAGGUGGAGCGGAGGCAGGCAGUGGUCAGAGACCCCAGACAUGGGGUCCUGGCACCACAACUGUGAUUUUCCAUCACUUUAGAGGCACCAACAGGGGUCCCUCUGGAAACGUGGAGCAGAAUCAUCCAGGAUCCCGAAGAGGACUUUGUCCUCCUGCCCAUUUCCAGUUCCUCUCCCAUCUCCUCUGGUUUCCAGAAGCAGCACAUCCCCGGCCCCACCCCUCAUCUGUAUACGGAUCCUCCUAAUGCAGACCCAGGUGAUGGAAAACCCGUCUACAACGAACCAAGGCUGUUCGUGCUUUCAAAUAUUAAAUUCUGUUCAGAAUAUUAAAUAAUUUCAUCUUCAGUGAUCCCAGUAAAUUUAAUUAGCUCUUGUUCUCCCAAUAGAGUUGUCUCUUGGUUGCUGAAAUGUUGCAUUCUCAAGGAAGGAGGCCCACAUUCCUGCAGCGCGGAGGGCUCGCUGUCUCCCUGCGCAGCCUGCCCUGCCGCAGGCACCACGGCACAUCGGCUGCCAGGAUCCCCUGUGCCCUGGCAGGAGGCGGAUGACACGGAGCUCUGCUGUCCGUGAGCUGUUCAUUCUCUGGGGGCAGGGAGAACCUUGAGGGAUCUGCUGGGUACCCUCCGUCAGGGUGCUGUGCAAGGGCAAUUAUAAACGACACUCCAGGGACCCCACAGAGCUGGCAUCCUUCUUCCAGGGGGAGCAGCCUGAGGGUGGCUGGGUCUGCCUGUGUCCUGGAGCUAGGCCCGUGAAGAUGGGUCUCCAUCAUUUCUCCAUCUUCUG
rnacentral:lncRNA from 1 species